rfam:Cavia porcellus supercont2_44 genomic scaffold, whole genome shotgun sequence.
GGAUAUAGCUCAGUGGCACAGUGCCUGCUUGGUAAGCAUGAGGUCCUGAGUUCAAUUCUCAGUACCA